UUCUCUCGCCUAACUCUCCUUCUAUUAUCGAACCCUCGUUGAAGCAAGCUCCGCCGUCUCCGGCGGUGAACUUCCGUUCACCAGAUCCGGUCCACUGCCACUCCCCGCAUCCUAUCCUAGCCCCCACUUCUAUCUCUUGCCUCAUUAUCUAUCUCGUGUCUAUAUGGUAGGUCGAGUCCGUUUAGUUACCAUCGCAUGCUUGUGGUCAUUCUCUGACCAUUUGCUACAGGUAAUGGCAUCCCUUCGUCGACCCCCUAGGUUUGCCAUCAACCAUUGCUUAGAUUAAGCUAUUCCCCGCUCAAUCUCAGGUUGUCCCAAUUGUUCUCCCUGUUUCAUGGUUAUCUCUCUUCUUCAUUGUCGAUGGUUUCUCGAUGUGGGGAUGGAGAUGGAUCAAUUUUGACUUGUGAGUUGAGGGGCAAAAGAGAAAGGAGAAAGGAUAAGCUGUAUGCGACUGCUACCAUAACAUACCAAUCUAGGUAAUCCGACAGGUGAUACCCUAGCUAUUGUCAAGGCAUUUGUUACCGCUGUUACAGUCCCGGUGACCAUACUUAUUCUCUAAAGUAAUGCAGGAGUAAAAUGCUCGAUGAGGUACUCGACGAAGAAAACAUCAAGUGGACUUACAAGUUGGUUGACCGCCUCUGAUUGCUUUAUCUGUGAUUUUACACUCGAUGAGCUUGGUCGUUCAUAGUUGUAUUUGUUAGUCGACCUUAGGAUUGUGCAAUUUGAUACCAUAUUUAUUUAUUUCACGUAUUAAUUUUGGAUUUGGGGAUCAAGUGUUAGCAAGUUGUUUGGUUGUUAUGGUGUAUGGCAUGGUGACUUUUGAAGAUGUUUUAAAGUACGGUUAACAUCUAGUAUUCUAUUUUUGACACGAAC